rnacentral:lncRNA from 1 species
GGGUAGGGGAUCUGUAUUUCAUACUCAUGAGAGAUCCUUUCCAACACUAAACCUCUAUGCUUACUUGGCUCAUGAGCCUAUUGCUGCAAUUGAUUGAUCGCAGCUAUCUACUACAGUUUUGGAUGAUUGUGGUCACCAACUAAACUUGCUAUAAUAGUUGUUAAAACUACUUGGUAGUAACGGCUUGUAUUGCUAGUAGCUCUAGAGGAGGUGGAGCCCUUCAAGGGCUCUAUAGAUAGUCAUUAGAAUCUAAGAGUGUAUCCUACUUGACAGAUGAGGGUACUAUCUACUCUCUUCAUGGCUCCAUGGCUACAAAUCGUCAACUGAUAGCUUCCU